UACGUAGGGUGCAAGCGUUGUCCGGAAUUAUUGGGGCGUAAAGAGCUUGUAGGCGGUUUGUCGCGUCUGCUGUGAAAAUCCGGGGCUCAACCCCGGACUUGCAGUGGGUACGGGCAGACUAGAGUGUGGUAGGGGAGACUGGAAUUCCUGGUGUAGCGGUGAAAUGCGCAGAUAUCAGGAGGAACACCGGUGGCGAAGGCAGGUCUCUGGGCAUUAACUGACGCUGGAGGAAGCG
rnacentral:rRNA from 1 species